UACGUAGGUGGCGAGCGUUGUCCGGAUUUACUGGGCGUAAAGAGCGAGCAGGCGGUCGUUCAAGUCGAGUGUGAAAGCCCCCGGCUUAACUGGGGAGGGUCACUCGAUACUGAUCGACUUGAAGGCAGGAGAGGGAAGCGGAAUUCCCGGUGUAGUGGUGAAAUGCGUAGAUAUCGGGAGGAACACCAGUGGCGAAGGCGGCUUCCUGGCCUGUUCUUGACGCUGAGGCGCGAAAGCUAGGGUAG
rnacentral:rRNA from 1 species